GAUAUGCUUUUUAUGAUGGAUUUAUGCGUGUUUAAGCCUUGGAAGUUAACUAAAACAAGAUCCCCCAGCUUUUGCCAAUCCAAAAUACAAAAUAAAUGUGCUGAAAACCCAAACAGCAAGCAAACUGAAACUGCAGCAGGAAAAUGAGUGGAAAAUGGUGGUUUUAGUGGUAAAAUUGAGUGGCAGUGAUUUAAAUGAGAAAAGGAUACCUCCAGCAAAUUUUAAUCAUCAUAUUCAACUUGUAAAAGCUAUGAAACAACCAAGAAAAGAAGUAAUGCAGAAUUUGACUUGUGCACUUGCCAAAAAUGAGCAAAAUUUGGUGAUUUAGAAGGUAUAUAUCAGUUUGGCUCAAAAUUGACCAUAUGAACAGUAACAAACAAAUUUCAAUUCACCAAAAAUGACUCUCUAAGCCAUGAAACAGAUCCAAAACAGUCAAGAUCUCAAAAUGAGUGGUUCACUUGAAUAUGUCAAG
rnacentral:lncRNA from 1 species